rnacentral:rRNA from 1 species
GACGGAGGAGGCUAGCGUUGUUCGGAAUUACUGGGCGUAAAGCGCGCGCGGGCGGUCUUGCAAGUCAGGGGUGAAAGCCCGAGGCUCAACCUCGGAACGGCCUUUGCGACUGCGAGACUGGAGACCGGGAGAGGAGAGUGGAAUUCCCAGUGUAGAGGUGAAAUUCGUAGAUAUUGGGAAGAACACCAGUGGCGAAGGCGGCUCUCUGGCCCGGACCUGACGCUGAGGCGCGAAAGCGUGGGGAGCAAACAGG